rnacentral:tRNA from 1 species
ACUUAAGUAGUUUAAACUAAAAAUUUUGAUUUGUGGUAUCAAAGAUAUAAUAAUUUAUUUUAAGUU